rnacentral:rRNA from 1 species
GCCUAACACAUGCAAGUCGAACGGCAGCACAGUAAGAGCUUGCUCUUACGGGUGGCGAGUGGCGGACGGGUGAGGAAUACAUCGGAAUCUACUUUUUCGUGGGGGAUAACGUAGGGAAACUUACGCUAAUACCGCAUACGACCUACGGGUGAAAGCAGGGGAUCUUCGGACCUUGCGCGAUUGAAUGAGCCGAUGUCGGAUUAGCUAGUUGGCGGGGUAAAGGCCCACCAAGGCGACGAUCCGUAGCUGGUCUGAGAGGAUGAUCAGCCACACUGGAACUGAGACACGGUCCAGACUCCUACGGGAGGCAGCAGUGGGGAAUAUUGGACAAUGGGCGCAAGCCUGGUCCAGCCAUACCGCGUGGGUGAAGAAGGCCUUCGGGUUGUAAAGCCCUUUUGUUGGGGAAGAAAUCCAGCUGGUUAAUACCCGGUUGGGAUGACGGUACCCAAAGAAUAAGCACCGGCUAACUUCGUGCCAGCAGCCGCGGUAAUACGAAGGGUGCAAGCGUUACUCGGAAUUACUGGGCGUAAAGCGUGCGUAGGUGGUUGUUUAAGUCUGUCGUGAAAGCCCUGGGCUCAACCUGGGAACUGCCGUGGAAACUGGACGACUAGAGUGUGGUAGAGGGUAGCGGAAUUCCUGGUGUAGCAGUGAAAUGCGUAGAGAUCAGGAGGAACAUCCAUGGCCAAGGCAGCUACCUGGACCAACACUGACACUGAGGCACGA